GACCCGGGAUCGGCUGUGGUUUACCGUAAAUUCUACGCGCGGUUGGGGGUCCUUUUAAUAAUAAUUGAAGCUCCAGGGUAGUCAUUAUUACUAAUUACUCAGAGUAAUUGGCCGGUGGUUGGUGUUUUGGAGGAAAUGUUUUCUCCAUUGGCUCGUGAAAGCUACCAAUACAACAGAAUAAAGAAAGACAAAGCUAUGGAAACCUUUGCCUAAAUAUUUUCGAAAAUUCGAGAAAUGCCAAGCCACGAUGCAAGGCAUCAUGAUGUCAUCGGAUCACGUGCACAGUAAUGGAUGCUACGCCCAAGAACUACGACAUGAAAAUGACCAUACCACAAGGUCAUUUGAAAGCAGAUCCAAUGUAUCCAUGUUCUUCUUCAGAUAACAUAUCUUCUGCGCUACCGAGUG